AGGAAGCCCAAGCAACUGCGAUUGCUUCAGUAAAGGCGAUUGAACUGGCAUCACUCAUGGCUCAACCUGAACGAGAUUCCCCAACUGCACUGCCUUGGCAGCAGCGGUCGGCUACUGUGGGUUUCAUCAGAUGCUGUGGGCUCCGGAGUCGGCGGCUGUGUGGUGGGUGGCCGUGGCGCCAGGAAGCGCCCUGGAAUGGUCCACACGAGAGGGAUAUUGUCCCGUACCCCUGCGUGCGCCAUGGCCUCCGCUGCGCUGCCGCUGGUAUCCAAGAGUAGAGCGGCUUGGGACUGCAGUUUGAACUGUGAUGUGUAUCCAUCACAAGGUGGAAUACCAACGUGGGACCGCUAGCGCAGAAGUAGAGUGAUUGAAGGAUGCAAAGGACUUUGCAAAGAGGGUUAAAAGUCCCUGAAGCCGCGCCAGGACCGGCGGUGAGUCGCGCUGUGGCAUUCUCUCCUUGGCUGGCUGUGUGUGUGCAAUCACUGGAUGGAGCGACAAGGAACUCGGCAAGGGCAGUGGCCGCGGUGCUGGCUUGUGAUGCCACGGCGAUCAGGCUGGCUGCUGCGUGCUGUCUGCCGGCGCUGAGCCGCCGUAAGCUUUCGYGCUGUGAGUGWUGCAUGUGCGGCCUGUCAGGCCCUGCCAUUCUCGCGAGGGAUCUGGUGGGGAUGUGUGACGAGAUUCCAAGUGACCUUGGGCCAGCCCAGAGCUGGCCACUGAGCCUAUCCCUUCAGGAGUGGACGCAGUCGUGGCAGCGUUCUGGUGGCACCCUGCCUGCCAGGGCCUGAGGCUUGUGGUGACAUCGACACAGGGBCUUUGCCUCUGYGUGGCAGUUGUGACGCACCCAGAGGAGAGGCACCGAGUSCCUCUCCCUCCGGACYGGGCCAAGGAGCCUCCGUGGAUACUGUGGGCCUUGCCUCUGCGACCAGAGAGAGCGAAUGCGCUGGACCUGGCGCGCCUUCGGGUGUGCCAGUCACCAGUGCCCAGACAUGGCUUUUGGGGUUCCUGAGUGCGUGGUGGCCGCACCACUUCGCUGGUGCCCGCUGCGCGCCUGGGUUCCCCCCGGAUGGUGCACGGUGCAGAUGCGCGUAGCUUGGCGUUUCCAGUGUUGCUCUCUGCCCGUCUUGAAACACGGACCAAGGAGUCUAUGGAGCUUGCAUGUCUGCUGGUGUGAUCAUGGAAAACCGCAAGGCGCGGUGAAAGCAACAUUCUUCCCAGAUGGUGCAGCUCGUUGUUGGACCCCUCUCUGUGGGCGCUGCUGGGCCGUGGUGCCGCGAGGCAAACAGUGUGGAGGCGAGAAGGGUGCCCCCUGCCGCGAGACUCGCUCCCUGCGGUGGCCCCACGUGGGUGCCCACCCCGUGCCGAGGAACAAGAGGACGGCCUUGUCUGUUGGGCUCGCCACAGGGCAGUUGACACCCCUGUGGGUUGAAGACGCUUGGGUUGAGUGGGCUCGUGGCUUCGGGCUUGCCCGUAAGUCUCUCGCUGCCCCUGCCUCGUCGACUUCGCGGCCCCGGCGGCAAACCAGAGAGCGGCGAAGAUGGCAGCUGGUUCUGCAUGGGACACCGGCUCCAACGUCCAGUGGACUGGGUUUUGAGUGCUUGCAAGGUCCAUGGGACCCGAAAGGUGGUGAACUAUACCAUACCAUGACGAAGCCAUGGGAAACUGUGGUGGAGGUCAGUCGCUGUUCUGACGUGCAAAUUGUGUAGCCUGAGUGUGGCAUAGGGGUGAAAGGCCAAUCGAACCACCUAGUAGCUGGUUUCCACUGAAGUUUCCCUCAGGAUAGCUGGGCUCGUGUGCAUCCACAAUCCCUGAGUGGUUACGUCCGGUAAAGCAACGCAUGAGAGGCAUCCCGGGGAGGCUACCCUCCUUGACCUAUUCUCAAACUGUGAAUGGGCGUGGCGAACCCAGAACAGGCAUGCUGCUUCACUGAUGCCUGAGGCCAGUGCAACACCUGGUACUCCAUGGCGUUCUGAGCGUGUUUCUCUGGUGGCUGCUGCUGUGAAAUCGGUCCCGGGCUGGAAUCAGAGCCUGCGCUGCGCAUUGGCUUGCGGGCCUUGUGUGGCAGUGGCCGGCGCUUGGGACCGUGCGAAACAUCGUGCCCAUUGUGCCCCUCGCGGGAACCGUGUGGUGCUGUGCGAGUGCGGACCCUCGUGCUGGCUGCGCUCACGAGGCUGCGGCAGGCCUCCGUGUGGCCUUCUCUGUCCAUCCAGUGGACGUGGCAUUUGGGUGGCAAGAGUGCUGUCCUCGCAGGGCACUGCCCUGGCCCCUCGCGGGGCCUCGGCGUGGGCCCUCUUCGCAGAGCUGCUGCUGUGGUGAACAAGUGUGCCUAUGUGGACCAAGAUUGGUAAGCAGUGCUGGUGAUGCGGGGUGCUCCGAGAGUGGACUUACAGAUCCCGAGUGCUGGCUCAUACUCAGAUCCCACAAAGGAUGUUGCCUGCUAUGGAUAGCAGGUCAGUGGCCAUGAAGGUUGGAACCCGCUAAGGAAUGUGUAACAACUCACCUGCCGAAGUAGGCUGCUCCAAAAAUGGAUGGUGCCCAAGUCAGUGAAGCUGAUAUUGCCUUACAGUCCGCCGCCGCUGUGGCAGCAGAGCAGAGCAUCGUUGUGUAGGUUGGACAUGGGAGACCGCAGUGCCCGUUGGGACCGAUCCCAACACGAGUGUCUUCUGGCGCAGAUCUUGGUUGCAGUAGCAAGUACUCCAUCAGAUGAAGAGUGGAAAAACCCCGCUGUGUGUGGUUGAGGACUGGAGUGGAGCAGGCUUCCGCACCAAACAGCCGUUGAAUGCGGGUCAGCCGACCGUGAGCCAAGUGGUAAAUCACUGAACAACCAAAGCUGCCAUUGGCAUCCAUCACUCCCCUGUGGUGGGCCUACCCAGACACGCAUCCCUCUCCGGCAGGGUGUGUCCAGAGCUGAUAUGUGUUUUCGCGCCUCUCCAUGUGGGUGGGUGGAGGGUGCCCAGAGGCAGGAUUGGCAAACAGGCAAGCAUGUGCAACAUUCUGCUGCGUCGGGCUCGGAAUGCCUUCGAACCGGUGGCAACGCCUUGGUAGCAGUGCGAGCAGGCUUUGGGGCAGUGCACUCCCCGAGGAGUUCUCGUUUCCUCCUGAUGCAGACACAUGUGGGCUAUUGAUUGGCAUGACAGAUGGUGAUGUAAGCUCUCCGCUCAGCAAGGCAGCGCACCCUCUGCGCUGGUGGUCCUUGUAUCCUCUCACUCAGAAGUUCUGGCUACAGCCAAGGGAGACACGCUCUCUCUCCCCGAGGAGGAGCUACGGUGGUCACUGGCUCCACUGAACGGCCUGCGUCGACUCAGUGUUCCUGGUCCCUGGACCUCGUACUGAAUCACCGCAGCCGGUCUCCUCGGCUCACCGCCGCUGGUCAACGGAUCGAAUGCAGCUAAGGGAAGUCGGCAAACUAGCCAUGUACCUUUGGAAGAUGUGGUGGCUCCAGAGGCCAAGUCACUGGGCCCCGCCGCGGGCGCUGUUGUUGUGGAGAGGGCUGCCCUGUGUGGUGGCCUCGGUUGCCGUGCGGGGCCUGUCGGCUCUGCUGAUAGCGUUGUGUGCAAAAAAGCAGCUCGUGCAAGGUCUCACCAUCUGUGGCGGGGGGACCGGGGUGCCUCCGGGCAUCCCUGCGCCCACCCCAGUGUCCCAUAGUGGCCCACAUGGAACUGUUGCUGUGCAGGGGAAUCUGACUGUUUAAUUGAAACCCAGCUUUGUGAAGUGAUCAGCUCGCUGGUCCCUUGAGGUGACUUCUGCCCAGUGCUCUGAUUGUCAAGGCGAAGAGAUUCAGCCAAGCGCGGGUAAACGGCGGGAGUAACUAUGACUCUCUUAAGGUAGCCAAAUGCCUCGUCAACCAAUUAUUGACGCGCAUGAAUGGAUCAACGAGAUUCCUGCUGUCCCUAGGUGCUGUCCGGUGAACCAACAGCCAAGGGAACGGGCUUGGGCGUGUCA
rnacentral:rRNA from 1 species